GAUGAACGCUGGCGGCGUGCCUAAUACAUGCAAGUCGAGCGAACAGACGAGGAGCUUGCUCCUCUGACGUUAGCGGCGGACGGGUGAGUAACACGUGGAUAACCUACCUAUAAGACUGGGAUAACUUCGGGAAACCGGAGCUAAUACCGGAUAAUAUAUUGAACCGCAUGGUUCAAUAGUGAAAGACGGUUUUGCUGUCACUUAUAGAUGGAUCCGCGCCGCAUUAGCUAGUUGGUAAGGUAACGGCUUACCAAGGCAACGAUGCGUAGCCGACCUGAGAGGGUGAUCGGCCACACUGGAACUGAGACACGGUCCAGACUCCUACGGGAGGCAGCAGUAGGGAAUCUUCCGCAAUGGGCGAAAGCCUGACGGAGCAACGCCGCGUGAGUGAUGAAGGUCUUCGGAUCGUAAAACUCUGUUAUUAGGGAAGAACAAAUGUGUAAGUAACGAUGCACGUCUUGACGGGACCUAAGCAGAAAGCCACGGCUAACUACGG
rnacentral:rRNA from 1 species